rnacentral:lncRNA from 1 species
UACUCAGUAGCGGCCUAACAGUAUAAAUUUGCAACGAAUACUUUUUCUCAUUCUAUCGAACAAAGAGUAAAACCUAAUUAUCUUGUUCUAUUAUGUCCCGAGAGUGUAAAUUUCGAACGAAUCGAUGUCAACGUUCACAAGAACCAAAACCGGAAUAACAUUAGACUACUCAGUUGCGCCCUAACUGUCCCGCCCCGGGACCGAUGCCAAUUUGGCUCGACCCGAGCACGUCAAAUAGACGCCGAAUGGACAGAGUUUCCCCUAUCCGCCCAAGGCUCAUCACAUGUACAAAUUCAAACAAGAAAUGCACUAGCGAAACAUGCACAAACGGCUUACACGAGGGUAAGCAAUAGCAAUUAGUGAAAGAUAGGAAACUAGCAUUCAUUCUGUACUAUGAUUCAGUUUAGAUCAUAUACAUUACAUCCAACUUGUAAUUUAUCGAUUUCUUACAUUCAUUACAUCAUUUCAUCAUAUCUUUCUUACAUAACAUUUACCUCAAAAUACACAUUACAUUCUUUUCUUUACAGCAUUUAUUAUCAUGUACCAAAAGAUGAUCAUAGGGUACUUUACUACAAAAUGAAACCAAACUUUGGUGGCCUCUGACUAAGGCGCGAUACCUUUACCUCGGUCGCUCGCCGGCAAGCUCGGUCCCGGCUCUGUGGAAAUAGUGGGGUGAGAACUACAACAAAGUUCCCAAUGGGUUCGGCCUCAACAUCACCGACUUUCCCACUAGGACUAACUCAGGCAUAAUAGAAAGAAUAAGCUGCAUAUAGUAACCAAUCUAUACCUAAUGCUAAUAUGCCUGAACAAUAAAGCAAGGAGUAUGCUCAACAUUAAAUAAUGCAGAUUAUGCAAAUUCUUUGUUCUUUUUAUUUUACUCUUUGUUCUUUGUUCUUUGUUUUUUGCACUUUGUUCUUUGCUCUUUGUUCUUUAAUCUUAAGGCUAAUCCGGGGAUAUCGCCACAUUAACUUGCUUCACAUUAAGUCCAUCAUCGCAGGAACUCACUCGCUAGGACCGUCCUUCGGGUUUACUCCAACCCGUGAUACAUAACUCCGGAGCGCAUCGCCCGAGGGGGAGUGACCGCCCUCAAGCACGGAACUCAUAGCAAGUAUGAUCGAAUUCUUAACUUAAAGGAUUAUAUGUUCAAUCUUGACUUUACACUAACUCUAGUGUUCUUUACGUCACUUCAUGUUGCUACUCUAGCAAUCAUUGUUCUUUACAUUUCCCUACUUUUGCUAACUUUAGCAUUCUUGUUCUUUACAUUUCUUAUUCUUAUUGCCCCACUUUACUUUAACUUUACACAUUGUCAUUAUCAUCAUUCUUUACAUCACUUUGGUUCUUUGGCUCACACUAACUCUAGUGUCACUUUACUUUACGUCUUCAAAUGCCACUCGAUAUAUGUCAUAGUGUCACUCUGUUCUUUUGCUCACUUUGGGUGCUCACUUUUCUCUCAUGCAUACACAUAGGGUUUUUACAUUCAUAAGGUUCUCAACCAUCACAUUAGGCAAGUUGUACUCACAAUCAUGCAACAUCACAUUCUCAUCAUCUCUUUACCCUAAAAUGCAUUCAACAAAUAUGUAACAUAUGCUCAAUUGAAUGACACAUUAGGCAUAGAGAGAAGUUCAACGAGUUUGGAAAGCACCACCCACCUCGUAGGCUUUCAAAGGUGCUCCGACGAUUUUCUUGGGAUUUUUAGGCUUCUCGUUCUUUACCUGCGGCAAAACGAAGCCCUAAUAGGUCAUUUGCUCAUAUCUUUUCAUUGGUUCUUCGGAAUGUUAAUCCGAGCGCACCAACGUGUCGGAAAUAUCCCCAAUUAGGUUUCUAGAGGGUCAAUUGCACUUAGAAAUCCCCAUGAGCAAAGGCCCCAAUUUGGUGCCCUAGCUCCAUAGCAUUCAUCAAACCUAGGGUUUGAUCUCAAAGAGAAGCAAAAGUAGCUUCAUUCUACUCUAAAGAGUCCAUCUAAACCAUCUUUAGACAAAUCAAAACCCUACUUAGGGUUUCACCAUGAGAGGUGAUGAAGCUCACCUUCAAGCUUCACCAUUUCUAUGGUCUUGAUCUCAAAAGAAGCAAAAGAAAAGCUUCAAAUACUCAAAUGGUUCCAUAAAACCCAUUUUAAACUUAAUCCAAACCCUAAAUUAGGUUCUACCAUAAUUAGGGUUCAAAGCUUACUUUGUAAGCUCUCAUUUUCCAAGCUAGAGAUGAGGGAGAGGGAGUUUCUUCACUUCUUCUUCUUCUUCUCGACUUUCUUCUUCUUCUUUUUCCUUCCUUUUCCUUCUCUUCUUCUUCUCCUUCUUUGUCUUCUAGACAGAGAAAAAGAGAUGAGAGGGGAUGAGAGGGUGAGAUUGAGAGAAAUCCCUCAUUUACCCCAAUACAUAGCUCAUUGGGUUGCAAAAUUGCAGAUAAACCCCUCAACUUUUACUCUUUCACACAGCCUGGACUGGGCUGUUCGCGCAGGCGGGUACCGGUCUUUCCUUCAGGGACCGGUUCUCGAAGGCUCUCCCCGCGCAGCCAGAGCUGCUGCGCGCAGGACAACCGGUCUCUCUUUGGGGGACCGGUCUCUCGGGGACCGGUCUCUCAGGUAGGGACCGGUUCCCGAGAGCUAGUUUCUCAGGACUUAGCCGAUUUUUCGACUGUCUCAUUUCAUACGCGUUCGGGGACCGGUCUCUCCCACCAGGGACCGGUCCCCCAGAGCUCAAAACUGCAGAAUGCAGAUUUUGAUUCUAUAGCUCUCGAAAACCUCCCGUAACUCACUUUUAAUCAUUUUAACACCAUCGGACUUUUCGAAGUGUACCAUCCUUGCACUUUGGUCAAUUUGACUAAAGUUCGAUAUUUAUUUUCCGAAUUUUCGGUAUAUUACACUAACAGUAUAAAUUUGUAACGAGUUCUUUUUCUCAUUUAAUCAAACAAAGAGUAAAACCUAAUUAUAUUGUUCUAUUAUGCCCCGAGAGUGAAAUGUUGGAACGAAUCGAUGUCAACGUUCACAUGAACCAAAACCGAAACAACAUUAAACUACUCAUUUUCGCCCUAACAGUAUAAAUUUGCAACGAGUACUUUUUUUCAUCCAAUCCAAAAAAGAGUAAAACCUAAUUAUAUUGUUCUAUUACACCCCGAGAGUGUAAUGUUGGAAGGAAUCGAGAUCAACGUUCACAAGAACCAAAAUCGGAACAACAUUAGACUACUCGCGCCCUAACAUUAUAACUUUGCAACGAGUACUUUUUCUCAUUCAAUCAAACAAAGAGUAAAUCCUAAUUACAUUGGUCUAUUAUGCCCCAAGAGUGUAAUGUUGGAAGGAAUCGAUGUCAACGUUCACAAAAACCAAAACCGGAACUGCAUUAGACAACUCACUUGCGCCCUAACAGUAUAAAUUUGCAACGAGUGCUUUUUCUCAUUCUAUCGAACAAAGAGUACAAGCUAAUUAUACUGUUCUAUUAUACCCUGAGAGUGUAAAUUUCGAACGAAUACAUGUCAACGUUAACAAGAACCAAAACCGAAACAACAUUAGACUACACAGUUGCGCCCUAACUGUAUAACUUUACAACGAGUACUUUUUCUCAUUCAAUCAAACAAAGAGUAAAACCUAAUUGUAUUGUUUUAUUAUGCCCCGAGAGUGUAAUAUUGGAACAAAUCGAUGUCAACGUUCACAAGAACCAAAACCGGAACAACAUUAAACUACUCGGUUGCGCCAUAAUAGUAUAAAUUUGCAACGAAUACUUUUUCUUAUUCUAUCGAACAAAGAGUAAAAGCUAAUUAUAUUGUUCUAUUAUGCCCCGAGAGUGUAAAUUUCGAACGAAUCGUUGUCAACGUUCACAAGAACCAAAACUUGAACAAUAUUAGACUACUCAGUUGCGCCCUAACAGCAUAAAUUUGCAACGAGUUUUUUUUCUCAUUCUAUCGAACAAAGAGUAAAAACUAAUUAUAUUGUUUUAUUAUGCCCUGAGAGUGUAAAUUUCAAACGAAUCGAUGUCAACGUUCACAAGAACCAAAACGGAAACAACAUUAGACUACUAAGUUGCGCCAUAACAGUAUAACUUUGCAACAAGUACUUUUUCUAAUUCAAUCGAACAAAGAGUAAAACCUAAUUACCUUGUUCUAUUAUGCCCCGAGACUGUAAAUUUCGAACGAAUCGAUGUCAACGUUCACAAGAACCAAAACCGGAACAACAUUAGACUACUCAGUUGCGCCCUAACAAUAUAACUUUGCAACGAGUACUUUUUCUCAUUCAAACAAACAAAAAGUA